UGCUGGAGGAGUCAUCUGUAACUGAAGGGAAGCGCGUGGUCUGGGUUAAACUAGGCACGCGUUGAGCUCCAUUUCUCUGAGCAAUAAUGAUGCAAUUACCGUGACCAUGACCACGGUUUCUGGCAGCCAAAAUACAUAGGGUGCAAACGCCACACCCAGGCACUGGCUUCUCCAAGCACACCCAGAACCAUUUGUGCUGUAUGUACUAUAAGAGGAGGCGCCCCACAGCUGGAAGAUACUGAUCCAAGACAAAAAUUGGCAGAUGGUUGGGAUUCAGAGAGAACAAUUAAAUUUUAAGGCAUCCAGUUUUAUUAACAGUGUUCAGAGUUAAUUUUAUCUUGUUGUAC